rnacentral:rRNA from 1 species
GUGGGGAAUAUUGCACAAUGGGGGAAACCCUGAUGCAGCGACGCCGCGUGAGUGAAGAAGCGUUUCGGCGCGUAAAGCUCUGUCAGCAGGAAAGAAAAUGACGGUACCUGACCAAGAAGCCCCGGCUAACUACGUGCCAGCAGCCGCGGUAAUACGUAGGGGGCAAGCGUUAUCCGGAUUUACUGGGUGUAAAGGGAGCGUAGACGGCGCGGCAAGUCCGAAGUGAAAGGCGGGGGCCCAACCCCCGGACUGCUUUGGAAACUGUCAUGCUUGAGUGCGGGAGGGGCAGGCGGAAUUCCUAGUGUAGCGGUGAAAUGCGUAGAUAUUAGGAGGAACACCGGCGGCGAAGGCGGCCUGCUGGACCGUAACUGACGUUGAGGCUCGAAGGCGUGGGGAGCAAACAGG